CGUGCCGAUUUUUAAAGGAAAGAAAAAAAGAAAAAAAAAAUGGUAAUGCUGUCUGUCGAUGUAAUUGCUGAUAAUGGACCAAAUAAUAGAAUUAAAAUGUUAACUUGUUAAAAAUCAUGUGACAGUCUUUGAUGAUGGAGCUAUGGAAUGCUUUCCUAAAAUAUUUUAGCAUCUCUACCUGUUUUUAGUGGCUGUGAAUUAAACUAGGAAAGAUAUUUGAAACAGUUUGGCUUUUUUGAAAAAA